GGUUCUGUAGGUCAGUGGUGCACUGGUCUUAUAAACCAGGGGUUGAGAGUUCAAUUUCCUCCAGGAGCU
rnacentral:tRNA from 1 species